rnacentral:rRNA from 1 species
UACGUAGGGUGCGAGCGUUGUCCGGAAUUAUUGGGCGUAAAGGGCUCGUAGGCGGUUUGUCGCGUCGGGAGUGAAAACUCAGGGCUUAACCCUGAGCCUGCUUCCGAUACGGGCAGACUAGAGGUAUGCAGGGGAGAAUGGAAUUCCUGGUGUAGCGGUGAAAUGCGCAGAUAUCAGGAGGAACACCGGUGGCGAAGGCGGUUCUCUAGGCAUUACCUGACGCUGAGGAGCGAAAGUGUGGGGAGCGAACAGG